CGGUUAGAUAUCCAGAACCUGUCUGUUCAAACUUAUUGUAUUUGUCCUUAAUACCAUUGCUGGCUAUACAAACGUAUUCCCCACUGUCCUGAUAUAUUGAUAAAACCGGAACAUCUGGUAACUUCAAAGUUUUAUUUCCAACAAACUCUCUUAUUAGCUCUCCAUAUCUGGACUUAUGUUGUCAUUUAUAGUAUGUAUAAAUGUCUGGGUUACCACUAGGAUUGCAUGUUACUGUUCUGUCAGCAUCAUUCUGAAGAUAUGUAUAACUGUUCAC
rnacentral:lncRNA from 1 species